UACAUGUAUAAAUGUAACCUAGAUACAUAUAUAUAUAUAUAUAUAUGUAAAGAAAGGAGGCUUUCUUUGUUAGGCGUGCCGCGUGACACACGCUGUGCACGGUUCGUGGAAUUAGCCUCCUUUAGAUGGAUAGAAGUGCUACUGAACAUAUAGACUGAGAAUUAUAAGUAGAUUUGGUUAAGUGUGGAUAAGAAGAGAUAUAAUAAUCUUUAAUUGUCGUUUCUUUGUGUGUGUGUUUUGCAGAGAAACACAUUUGGUUAUUAUUAUUCAAGAAAGAUUGAAUUUCCCUUAUAUAUAUAUGACGUACCUUAUUAUCUCCUAAAUGUAGGAUCUUUAAUUUGGGUAAUUGUGUAGAUAUUCGUGAACAAUAUCUAACACUAUCUCUAUAAUGGCUGGUCGAGAUAGAGGGCAAAAGUAAUCCGUAAUAAGAUCUACAAAAAAUAUUGUGAAUUGAAUAUUUCUUCACAUAAAGAAACAAAAAAAUCCUAAAAGAUUAAU